CGUGGUCUGAGCCACCAUCAAGAGGCGGGGCGCUGAGUUUCACUCACCCAUUCAACACGUGUCAAAGGCCACCAGACACGGUCCUGUGACCCGAGGAUACUGUGACAAAUGUCCCUGCCUCCAGAACAUUCAGAAGGAAACGGCGUCUUGGCAGAGUAAUUAAUUUUUCCAAGAAAUUACCGAAGCCGGAGUGCUUGUAUACACGGAGACUGCCCGGAAGUUGACCGGAGAUCCUUGUGGCUUUCAUGUGCCGCGGUCCUGAUUCCCGAGGAUAGCCACCGUAGCAGUCCGGUGGGAGUCCCUUCCUGCCAGCACCGGCUAGGUAAUCGUGGGGCCUGGUGCAAAACGAAAAGGUGGGCCCCAGGUUCAAAAAUAAUGAAGAUUUUCAAGAUGGCACAGCAGACCAGUAGUGGAGCGUGGGGCCCUUCUGAGUGUGGGGGGCUGUGUUGCGGCACGGGCCUCACGCUGCUAAGGCUAGCUCUGCUCCCCGGUUUGCUUCUUCAGUGCACUCCCCAAAUAUGUUCAGGUCUUUAACUGAGCACAAAAAGCCAGCCUCGGGGCGCCUGAAGCCUCUGCCUUC